AGUAUCUGAAUUUGGGGAGAACAUAAGUCCAUGACACACGUGUACAAAACUUUCAUUGUGAUAUUAGUGUCAUAAUAAUAAUAUAUAACAACAUACAACAGAGCAACCAACAAGCUUAACACCUGAGAAAAGAUAGGUGCCUCCCAGAAGUAACAAACAUGAGUACUUGAUUACCUAGGGCACACAUAGCACAGACCAAGAUAUAAUCGCCUUGAAAGUGGAUGAAAAGAAUGCAGCUGAAACAUUUAUCAAAUUAGUGGAGGCCAAAUGUGCACACUAGUGAAGAUCAACUGUGGUUGGAGAAAUGAAGAACAGCAAAACUCUAACCCCGGGACAGGUACAAGAUUACUGAGAAAGCUUCACCCCACAAACUCAGGGGCACUAAGAUUGAGGCUGAGCCGUAACGACAGAAUUUUCCCACUGUUAAAGCAAAUAAAUAUGGCCUGAGAAGGACUUCUAUAUUUGAGUCCUUGUGGACUAACUGCAACCUAACUUAACAGAGUAAGACCAUUUAAAGGGACCAAAAAUGGAUGAACAUACUUGGCACUAUGAACUAAAAGAUCUUUGGCUAAAGAAGAGAUGAAGACUCAUUCAACUCCUACAAGUGAAUUAAGGAGCUCUGAGAAGGCAAAGCCAGCCCAGGAGGGUGGGCACACUAAGAACAAUGUGCCUUGUCUUGAUACACAGUUGUGGUAUAGGUAACAAAAUCUGAGUAUCCAACCUAAGAUGUUACCCCUCACCUCACCAGAAUACCUCUAAUCCCUUCCCUGGAAACACAGAAUAAAUUCCUAUAGAAAGUUA
rnacentral:lncRNA from 1 species